UCAUUACCCUCAUCCUCUUUGCUUUUCUUCUUCUUACUCUUCUUGUCAGAUUUCUCCUCAUCUGAGGAUCCAUCUCUACCAUUCUCUUUAGACUUCUUUUUCUUCUUAUCCCUUCAACUUAAACAAAGUCCA